GCCCUUGUCGCCAAACUGGACUAAGGCCACGGUUUUCGAAGCCGUUCACUGGGGGUUCGAGUCCCUCCAAGGGCGCCA
rnacentral:tRNA from 1 species